UACGAAGGAUCCAAGCGUUAUCCGGAUUUAUUGGGUUUAAAGGGUGCGUAGGCGGGCUAUUAAGUCAGUGGUGAAAGCCCCAAGCUUAACUUGGGAACUGCCAUUGAUACUGAUGGUCUUGAGUACAUUUGAGGUGGGCGGAAUGUGUCAUGUAGCGGUGAAAUGCUUAGAUAUGACACAGGACAUCGAUUGCGAAGGCAGCUCACUAAACUGUAACUGACGCUGAGGCACGAAAGCGUGGGGAGCAAACAGG
rnacentral:rRNA from 1 species